ACUAUGCUUGGCCCUAAACCUCAGUAGUUAGAUAACAAAACUACUCGCCAGAAUACUACGAGCUACAGCUUAAAACUCAAAGGACUUGACGGUGCUUUACACCCCCUAGAGGAGCCUGUUCCGUAAUCGAUAAACCCCGAUCCACCCCACCCUCUCUUGCUCAGCCUAUAUACCGCCAUCUUCAGCAAACCCUAAUGAAGGUCACAAAGUGAGCGCAAACGCCGUCACCGCGAAUACGUUAGGUCAAGGUGUAGCCUAUGAGAUGGUAAAAAAUGGGCUACAUUUUCUACCUCAGAAAAUUCCACGAAAACCCUUAUGAAAUUUAAGGGCCCAAGGAGGAUUUAGCAGUAAAUUAAGAAUAGAGUGCUUAAUUGAACCAGGCCAUAAAGCGCGCACACACCGCCCGUCACUCCUCUCAAAUAUAUUUAAGGAACAUCUUAACUAAACGCCCUAAUAUUUAUAUAGAGAGGAUAAGUCGUAACAUGGUAAGCGUACUGGAAGGUGCGCUUGGAUAAAU
rnacentral:rRNA from 1 species